rnacentral:rRNA from 1 species
CUCGCGGCCUAUCAGCUUGUUGGGUGGGGUAAUGGCCUACCAAGGCGACGACGGGUAGCCGACCUGAGAGGGUGACCGGCCACACUGGGACUGAGACACGGCCCCAGACUCCUACGGGAGGCAGCAGUGGGGAAUAUUGCACAAUGGGCGAAAGCCUGAUGCAGCGAUGCCGCGUGAGGGAUGACGGCCUUCGGGUUGUAAACCUCUUUCAGCAGGGACGAAGCGCAAGUGACGGUACCUGCAGAAGAAGCACCGGCUAACUACGUGCCAGCAGCCGCGGUAAUACGUAGGGUGCAAGCGUUGUCCGGAAUUACUGGGCGUAAAGAGUUCGUAGGCGGUUUGUCGCGUCGUUUGUGAAAACCAGCAGCUCAACUGCUGGCUUGCAGGCGAUACGGGCAGACUUGAGUACUGUAGGGGAGACUGGAAUUCCUGGUGUAGCGGUGAAAUGCGCAGAUAUCAGGAGGAACCCCCGGUGGCGAAGGCGGGUUCUCUGGGCAGUAACUGACGCUGAGGAACGAAAAGCGUGGGUUAGCGAACCCCUAUUCAGGAAAAGAAAGUGGGUUAAGUUUUCCCCA